rnacentral:ncRNA from 1 species
GCAGAGUAGAUAUGUGUGCGUUAAGUGCCGGAUGGACGGGGAGUUGCCAGCCGGACGAAAAGAUGUUCUUGCGGUACACAUGUCGCAUCCCGCUGC